rnacentral:rRNA from 1 species
CGUGAGCAACCUGUCUUGAAGACUGGGAUAACAGCGGGAAACCGCUGCUAAUACCGGAUACCCCCAUUGGAUCGCAUGGACCGAUGAGGAAAUGAGUUUUGCUUCAUGAGGGGCUCGCGGCCUAUCAGCUUGUUGGUGAGGUAACGGCUCACCAAGGCUCCGACGGGUAGCUGGUCUGAGAGGACGACCAGCCACAUUGGGACUGAGACACGGCCCAA